rnacentral:tRNA from 1 species
CGGGGGAUAGGAUAAGUUAAAAUCCGGCGGGUUCAUACCCCGCAUAUACCGCUGGUUCCCCCGU